rnacentral:rRNA from 1 species
AAGCGUUGUUCGGAAUUAUUGGGCGUAAAGCGCGUGUAGGCGGUUUGUUAAGUCUGGUGUGAAAGCCCUGGGCUCAACCUGGGAAGUGCAUUGGAUACUGGCAAACUUGAGUACGGGAGAGGAUAGUGGAAUUUCGAGUGUAGGGGUGAAAUCCGUAGAUAUUCGAAGGAACACCGGUGGCGAAGGCGGCUAYCUGGACCGAUACUGACGCUGAGACGCGAAAGCGUGGGGAGCAAACAGGAUUAGAUACCCUGGUAGUCCACGCCGUAAACGAUGGGUACUAGGUGUCGCGGGUAUUGACCCCUGCAGUGCC